rnacentral:rRNA from 1 species
AGAGUUUGAUCAUGGCUCAGAACGAACGCUGGCGGCAGGCUUAACACAUGCAAGUCGAGCGCCCCGCAAGGGGAGCGGCAGACGGGUGAGUAACGCGUGGGAAUCUACCUUUUGCUACGGAAUAACGCAUGGAAACGUGUGCUAAUACCGUAUGUGCCCUUCGGGGGAAAGAUUUAUCGGCAAAGGAUGAGCCCGCGUUGGAUUAGCUAGUUGGUGGGGUAAAGGCCUACCAAGGCGACGAUCCAUAGCUGGUCUGAGAGGAUGAUCAGCCACAUUGGGACUGAGACACGGCCCAAACUCCUACGGGAGGCAGCAGUGGGGAAUAUUGGACAAUGGGCGCAAGCCUGAUCCAGCCAUGCCGCGUGAGUGAUGAAGGCCUUAGGGUUGUAAAGCUCUUUCACCGGAGAAGAUAAUGACGGUAUCCGGAGAAGAAGCCCCGGCUAACUUCGUGCCAGCAGCCGCGGUAAUACGAAGGGGGCUAGCGUUGUUCGGAUUUACUGGGCGUAAAGCGCACGUAGGCGGAUCGAUCAGUCAGGGGUGAAAUCCCAGAGCUCAACUCUGGAACUGCCUUUGAUACUGUCGAUCUGGAGUAUGGAAGAGGUGAGUGGAAUUCCGAGUGUAGAGGUGAAAUUCGUAGAUAUUCGGAGGAACACCAGUGGCGAAGGCGGCUCACUGGUCCAUUACUGACGCUGAGGUGCGAAAGCGUGGGGAGCAAACAGGAUUAGAUACCCUAGUAGUCC